ACACAGGAGAGGAGGUGGUCCGAGAAAUUGAUAGCUUAUUGGACUUGUGAGGUGGCUGCCCGCUAGCAGUACCAGGCGAGGAAUCACCUGCGCGCGCUGGCGAAUUCCCCGCAGCCACCCGGCCCCCGAGCCUCCGGUUUGUCCAACCUGGAACUACGGCUCGGGGGCUGCCCAUU
rnacentral:sRNA from 1 species